rnacentral:lncRNA from 1 species
GCAGACAUUGUUGUGCUUUGUGAAGAAUAUUACCAUAAAAAAUUAGUUUAUUUGUCGUGUAACAUGUGCUGCUUAGGACCAUUCAGUCAUCAGUUUAUUUACCACACACGCAGUCAAUUCAUAAUUCAAGAUUAUACUUUGAAUUUUCUGGACCAUAUACAUCAUGAUAUAAUAUAGAUAUUAAGGAGAUGUGGUAUGAUUGUAAAUGAAACAACUAUCCAAAAGAGCUCAAAGAACAUGAAGAGUGACCAUAUGCAUAUUAACU